CUAACUUUAAAAAUCAAAGAUAAGGGUGAGACAGAGAAUUAUGAAGUCUGGAGUAAAAUGUAUCAAUGGCUGGAGUCAAGGAAAAAGAAAGAAAGGGUUGACACUUUAUAGGAAUGAAAGCUAAAAAAAAAACUUUGUAAAGCAA